rnacentral:tRNA from 1 species
GCCGUCGUAGCUCAGUUGGUAGAGCGUCGCCAUGGUAAGGCGAAGGUCAUCGGUUCAAUCCCGAUCGACGGCUCCA